rnacentral:tRNA from 1 species
GGAGAUUUAUUUUAUUU